AUACGGAGGGUGCAAGCGUUAAUCGGAAUUACUGGGCGUAAAGCGCUCGUAGGCGGCUUGUUAAGUCGGGUGUGAAAUCCCGGGGCUCAACCCCGGAACUGCAUUCGAAACUGCCUCGCUGGAGUCCCGGAGAGGAGAGCGGAAUUCCCGGUGUAGAGGUGAAAUUCGUAGAUAUCGGGAGGAACACCAGCGGCGAAGGCGGCUCUCUGGACGGUGACUGACGCUGAGACGCGAAAGCGUGGGGAGCAAACAGGAUUAGAAACCCCAGUAGUCC
rnacentral:rRNA from 1 species